CACAGAAAGAGAGAGAGAGAGAGAGAGAGAGAGAGAGAGAGAGAGAGCCUGGAACAAAAAAAAGUGCAUACAAUUAAGUUUUAGCAACAGAUUCCAUAGCUGCCUCUCUCUCUCUCUCUGUCUCUCUCUCACACACACACACUUUUCC
rnacentral:miRNA from 1 species